UAGAGUUUGAUCCUGGCUCAGGAUGAACGCUAGCGGCAGGCCUAACACAUGCAAGUCGAACGGUAACAUGAGUGCUUGCACUUGAUGACGAGUGGCGCACGGGUGCGUAACGCGUAUGCAACUUACCCCAAACUGGAGAAUAGCCUUUAGAAAUGAAGAAUAAUACUCCAUAGUAUUCCAAAGAGGCAUCUCUUUGGUCUUAAAGCUUCGGCGGUUUGGGAUGGGCAUGCGUUCUAUUAGUUAGUUGGUGAGGUAACGGCUCACCAAGACCACGAUAGAUAGGGGGCCUGAGAGGGUUAUCCCCCACACUGGUACUGAGACACGGACCAGACUCCUACGGGAGGCAGCAGUGAGGAAUAUUGCACAAUGGACGAAAGUCUGAUGCAGCCAUGCCGCGUGCAGGAUGAAUGCCCUACGGGUUGUAAACUGCUUUUAUAUAGGAAGAAACCUCUGAACGUGUUCAGGGCUGACGGUACUAUAAGAAUAAGGACCGGCUAACUCCGUGCCAGCAGCCGCGGUAAUACGGAGGGUCCAAGCGUUAUCCGGAUUUAUUGGGUUUAAAGGGUCCGUAGGCGGGAAAUUAAGUCAGUGGUGAAAGCCUACAGCUCAACUGUAGAACUGCCAUUGAAACUGAUUUUCUUGAAUAUAGAUGAAGUGGGCGGAAUAUAUCAUGUAGCGGUGAAAUGCAUAGAUAUGAUAUAGAACACCGAUUGCGAAGGCAGCUCACUAAACUAUUAUUGACGCUGAGGGACGAAAGCGUGGGGAGCGAACAGGAUUAGAUACCCUGGUAGUCCACGCCGUAAACGAUGAUUACUCGAUGUUGGCGAUAUAUUGUCAGUGUUUUAGAGAAAUCGUUAAGUGAUCCACCUGGGGAGUACGUUCGCAAGAAUGAAACUCAAAGGAAUUGACGGGGGCCCGCACAAGCGGUGGAGCAUGUGGUUUAAUUCGAUGAUACGCGAGGAACCUUACCAAGACUUAAAUGUAUUUUGACAGAUUGAGAAAUCAACUUUUCUUCGGACAAUUUACAAGGUGCUGCAUGGUUGUCGUCAGCUCGUGCCGUGAGGUGUCGGGUUAAGUCCCAUAACGAGCGCAACCCCUAUUUUUAGUUGCCAGCGAGUAAUGUCGGGAACUCUAGAAAGACUGCCUGUGUAAACAGUGAGGAAGGUGGGGAUGACGUCAAAUCAUCACGGCCCUUAUGUCUUGGGCUACACACGUGCUACAAUGGUUACUACAGUGGGAUGCCAUCUGGCAACAGAGAGCAAAUCCAUAAAGGUAAUCCCAGUUCGGAUCGGAGUCUGCAACUCGACUCUGUGAAGUUGGAAUCGCUAGUAAUCGUAUAUCAGCAAUGAUACGGUGAAUACGUUCCCGGGCCUUGUACACACCGCCCGUCAAGCCAUGGAAGUUUGUGGUGCCUGAAGUCAGUAACCGAAAGGAUCUGCCUAGGGUAAAACAGAUAAUCUAGGGCUAAGUCGUAACAAGGUAACCA
rnacentral:rRNA from 1 species